UACCAUCGGUCACAAGCUGGUGCCAUUUAGAUGUAUAGAUGGCUGAAAAGGGAAUCUGGUGUGAAUCCAGAACUGACGCGCAGCGGUAUGAGAGAACAAACACUCACCAGACACUGCAUCAUAUGUGGGAAGUCGAGUUAGUAGGCAAUAUAUAAUGCUCUUGAGUCCGAAUACCUGCCAGCAGCUGAUUAAUGGGC
rnacentral:ncRNA from 21 species